UACGUAGGUGGCAAGCGUUGUCCGGAUUUACUGGGCGUAAAGAGCGCGCAGGCGGUCGUUCAAGUCGCGUGUGAAAGCCCCCGGCUCAACUGGGGAGGGUCACGCGAUACUGAUCGACUCGAAGGCAGGAGAGGGUAGUGGAAUUCCCGGUGUAGUGGUGAAAUGCGUAGAUAUCCGGAGGAACACCAGUGGCGAAGGCGGCCUUCUGGGAUGAUCCUGACGCUCAGACACGAAAGCUAGGGGAGCGAACGGG
rnacentral:rRNA from 1 species